GAUGAACGCUGGCGGCGUGCCUAAUACAUGCAAGUCGAGCGAACAGACGAGGAGCUUGCUCCUCUGACGUUAGCGGCGGACGGGUGAGUAACACGUGGAUAACCUACCUAUAAGACUGGGAUAACUUCGGGAAACCGGAGCUAAUACCGGAUAAUAUAUUGAACCGCAUGGGUCAAUAGUGAAAGACGGUUUUGCUGUCACUUAUAGAUGGAUCCGCGCCGCAUUAGCUAGUUGGUAAGGUAACGGCUUACCAAGGCAACGAUGCGUAGCCGACCUGAGAGGGUGAUCGGCCACACGGGAACUGAGACACGGUCCAGACUCCUACGGGAGGCAGCAGUAGGGAAUCUUCCGCAAUGGGCGAAAGCCUGACGGAGCAACGCCGCGUGAGUGAUGAAGGUCUUCGGAUCGUAAAACUCUGUUAUUAGGGAAGAACAGAUGUGUAAGUAACUACGCACGUCUUGACGGUACCUAAUCAGAAAGCCACGGCUAACUACGUG
rnacentral:rRNA from 1 species